rnacentral:rRNA from 1 species
GAUGAACGCUGGCGGCGUGCCUAAUACAUGCAAGUCGAGCGAACGGACGAGAAGCUUGCUUCUCUGAUGUUAGCGGCGGACGGGUGAGUAACACGUGGAUAACCUACCUAUAAGACUGGGAUAACUUCGGGAAACCGGAGCUAAUACCGGAUAAUAUUUUGAACCGCAUGGUUCAAAAGUGAAAGACGGUCUUGCUGUCACUUAUAGAUGGAUCCGCGCUGCAUUAGCUAGUUGGUAAGGUAACGGCUUACCAAGGCAACGAUGCAUAGCCGACCUGAGAGGGUGAUCGGCCACACUGGAACUGAGACACGGUCCAGACUCCUACGGGAGGCAGCAGUAGGGAAUCUUCCGCAAUGGGCGAAAGCCUGACGGAGCAACGCCGCGUGAGUGAUGAAGGUCUUCGGAUCGUAAAACUCUGUUAUUAGGGAAGAACAUAUGUGUAAGUAACUGUGCACAUCUUGACGGUACCUAAUCAGAAAGCCACGGCUAACUACGUGCCAGCAGCCGCGGUAAUACGUAGGUGGCAAGCGUUAUCCGGAAUUAUUGGGCGUAAAGCGCGCGUAGGCGGUUUUUUAAGUCUGAUGUGAAAGCCCACGGCUCAACCGUGGAGGGUCAUUGGAAACUGGAAAACUUGAGUGCAGAAGAGGAAAGUGGAAUUCCAUGUGUAGCGGUGAAAUGCGCAGAGAUAUGGAGGAACACCAGUGGCGAAGGCGACUUUCUGGUCUGUAACUGACGCUGAUGUGCGAAAGCGUGGGGAUCAAACAGGAUUAGAUACCCUGGUAGUCCACGCCGUAAUCGAUGAGUGCUAAGUGUUAGGGGGUUUCCGCCCCUUAGUGCUGCAGCUAACGCAUUAAGCACUCCGCCUGGGGAGUACGACCGCAAGGUUGAAACUCAAAGGAAUUGACGGGGACCCGCACAAGCGGUGGAGCAUGUGGUUUAAUUCGAAGCAACGCGAAGAACCUUACCAAAUCUUGACAUCCUUUGACAACUCUAGAGAUAGAGCCUUCCCCUUCGGGGGACAAAGUGACAGGUGGUGCAUGGUUGUCGUCAGCUCGUGUCGUGAGAUGUUGGGUUAAGUCCCGCAACGAGCGCAACCCUUAAGCUUAGUUGCCAUCAUUAAGUUGGGCACUCUAAGUUGACUGCCGGUGACAAACCGGAGGAAGGUGGGGAUGACGUCAAAUCAUCAUGCCCCUUAUGAUUUGGGCUACACACGUGCUACAAUGGACAAUACAAAGGGCAGCGAAACCGCGAGGUCAAGCAAAUCCCAUAAAGUUGUUCUCAGUUCGGAUUGUAGUCUGCAACUCGACUACAUGAAGCUGGAAUCGCUAGUAAUCGUAGAUCAGCAUGCUACGGUGAAUACGUUCCCGGGUCU